GAAUGAACAGCUGGCACUGGAGGGCCCCAGCAGAGCUCAUCUCAGAGCAGCCACAGGAGAAUGAAGAGCUACAUGUUUCAUUGCUGUUGUUAUGACCAGUUUCAGUAGAUGUGAUAAUGGCCACCUAUGAGGAGAAAGCUACAGUUGUGUAUGGAUCAACGUCCAGGAAGGUAUGGGAGCUGCAGUUCGUUUAGUAGCCCUUCCAAUAGAGAAGAACCUGCAAAGUGCUUUCCAGGCGUGGAGUUACUCCUGUGGUGACAGGGGAGUGGUCAGAGAAAGCAGGCAACGCUGACUCGUGCAGGUAAAGCAAGCAAGUUGUGUGGCACUGAGUUGGAUGCCCGGGAGAGAUGCAGUGGCAGAGCGCCCAUCGUUGGAAGCACAGUUUGGCAGUUUCCUGUGUUGCCCAAGGAACUGGGACUGCCCGGGCAGAGAGCUCAAGGUUGUCUUACAGCUGAAGGAGGGAAAAUAGAGCAGCAACAACUGAGGCAAGCUUUCAUCAGAGGUAAGCAUGUGUAUGAGCUGGGAGAUGCCGUGUAGAGGAACACAGAAAGGAG
rnacentral:lncRNA from 1 species